GCCCUUCAUGUGGGGCUGAAGUCUUAAGACCUGGAGAGUAGCCCCAAGGGUGGAGAAGCGGCUGCUGAAGGGAUCAGCAUGCGCUGGCACAGGAAGUCUGUUUUCCAUGUGUCUGGAACCCAGCCGAAGCUUCCUGGGGUAAUUUUAACCAGUAUCCACUCUAGAACAAUACCAAAAAAGCAAGACUGUGUUGGGCUAGAGGAAAGGCAGUAAUCAACUCCGUGUUCCACGUGAGGAAACAAGAUCAUGGAAGGCAAGUCGAGAGCCCCAAGGUUAUCCAGCUUCAAGGUCACCAGUCACCUAGCUUCCUUCUUUCCUGCAGCCAGAUGCCCAUCCCAGUACCAGGUUGCGCUGUGGGGAUCGUGGAGUAGCUUAAGGCCUCCCUCUGCCUGCCCCACCCCCACUGUGUUUAUAUUGUUGGGAAACUUAAUCCACAGAAAUAAAGUGUGGAUUAUUUUUAUUGA
rnacentral:antisense_RNA from 1 species